UACAGAGGGGGCAAGCGUUGUUCGGAAUUACUGGGCGUAAAGGGCGCGUAGGCGGCCUUCUAAGUCGAACGUGAAAUCCCCGGGCUCAACCCGGGAACUGCGUCCGAUACUGGAAGGCUUGAAUCCGGGAGAGGGAUGCGGAAUUCCAGGUGUAGCGGUGAAAUGCGUAGAUAUCAGGAGGAACACCUGUGGUGUAGACGGCUUACUGGGCCAUGACUGACGCUGAGGCACGAAAGCGUGGGGAGCAAACAGG
rnacentral:rRNA from 1 species